rnacentral:tRNA from 1 species
GGCGACGUGGCCGAGUGGUUUAGGCGCGGGUCUGCAAAACCCGUUACCCCGGUUCAAUUCCGGGCGUCGCCUCCA